GAUGAACGCUAGCGGGAGGCCUAACACAUGCAAGCCGAGCGGUAGAGUUCCUUCGGGCCCUUGAGAGCGGCGUACGGGUGCGUAACACGUGUGCAACCUACCUUUAUCUGGGGGAUAGCCUUUCGAAAGGAAGAUUAAUACCCCAUAAUAUAAUGAUUGGCAUCAAUUAUUAUUGAAAACUCCGGUGGAUAGAGAUGGGCACGCGCAAGAUUAGAUAGUUGGUGAGGUAACGGCUCACCAAGUCAAUGAUCUUUAGGGGUCCUGAGAGGGAGAUCCCCCACACUGGUACUGAGACACGGACCAGACUCCUACGGGAGGCAGCAGUGAGGAAUAUUGGACAAUGGGUGAAAGCCUGAUCCAGCCAUCCCGCGUGAAGGAUGACGGUCCUAUGGAUGGUAAACUUCUUUUGUACAGGGAUAAACCUACUCUCGUGAGGGUAGCUGAAGGUACUGUACGAAUAAGCACCGGCUAACUCCGUG
rnacentral:rRNA from 1 species